AUAAUAAGAGACUCAUCCACGAAUAAUUUAGACACUAACAGGUUAUCUAUCCGGAUAGCUCCUUAUGUUUUGUGGGAUCAGACUACAAAGGAUGCAUGGUUUGGGAGUGAUGUAUCAAGAAAGUUUUAAGUUCCUCAGGUCUCAAGGACCUCCACAUCAAACCAGAUACACACAAACUAAUAGAAGAAAAAGUGGGGAAGCAUCUCGAACACAUGGGCACUGGAGAAAAUUUCCUGAACAAAACACCAAUGACUUAUGCUCUAAGAUCCAGAAUCGACAAAUGGGAUCUCAUAAAACUGCAAAGCUUCUGUAAGGCAAAGGACACUGUGGUUAGGACAAAAUGGCAACAACAGAUUGGGAAAAGAACUUUGCCAAUCCUACAACAGAUAGAGGGCUUAUAUCCAAAAUAUACAAAGAACUCAAGAAGUUAGACCGCAGGGAGACAAAUAACCCUAUUAAAAAAUGGGGUUCAGAACUAAACAAAGAAUUCACAGCUGAGGAAUGCCAAAUGGCUGAGAAACACCUAAAGAAAUGUUCAACAUUUUUACUCCUAAGGGAAAUGCAAAUCAAAACAACCCUGAGAUUUCACCUCACACCAGUGAGAACGGCUAAGAUCAAAAACUCAGGUGACAGCAAAUGGUGGGUGAGGAUGUGGAGAAAGAGGAACACUCCUCCAUUGUUGGUGGGAUUGCAGACUGGUACAACUAUUCUGGAAAUCAGUCUGGAGGUUGCUCAGAAAAUUGGACAUUGAACUACCUGAGGACCCAGCUAUAUCUCUCUUGGGCAUAUACCCAAAAGAUGCCCCAACACAUGCUCCACUAUGUUCAUAGCAGCCUUAUUUAUAAUAGCCAGAAGCUGGAAAGAACCCAGAUGCCCUUCAACAGAGGAAUGGAUACAGAAAAUGUGGUACAUCUACACAAUGGAAUAUUACUCACCUAUCAAAAACAAUGACUUUAUGAAAUUCAUAGGCAAAUGGAGGGAACUGGAAAAUAUCAUCCUGUGUGAGAUAACCCAAUCACAGAAAAACACACAUGAUGUCCAUUAUACAAAUCAUGAUCGACAACUAUCAUCAAAUAUUUGGAAAUUAUAAUAUAUUUUAUAAACGUAUUGACAGAAGAUCUGAGGAUUUAAAGACUUGUGCAGAUUCAAUAAACUCUUCUGGCAAAUCACCUAUUAUGAAAGAAUUCCUAGCUGGCCACAACAAGAAGACAUGCGAUAAUGGGAGCAGGGACCCACUUCUGUAAUGUGGGUACACGAGGCUUCAUCUGAACGCCAUGUUCCUAACUGGAUCUGUGUGGCUCUGUUCACUUAUCUGUGAUCCCUUCCAACUCUACAGUGCUGUUUUCCCAUUAAGGGUCAACUGCAGCUGAAUUUAAAUUUCAGGUUGGCUCAGAUCAUCCUCUCUAGCUGUGUGAUCUUCCCAACCCGCCAUCUAUUCCACAGAGACAGCCCCUCUCUGUAGGGGAGCUGUGCCCAUCAAAGGGAGAAGCCGGUAUGUGAGGCUGGGUUGGAUGUGUGUUAUCUCUUUCCAGUCGAGCAUGGUAUAAUUGCAGUUUUCUGAGGGUCAUCACUGCCUGAAGUGGCCUAAAGAUGUCUUUUGUAAUUUAUUUCCUUGUUUAGCAUCAAGAGGACCUGAUGCCCCCAGAAGCCUGGAUUGCUGGAUAUGCAUGUUUCUGUGAUGUACACAUAUACUCACACAUUUAUAAAACUACUGGUAUAUGUUGUGCCCUUGGUUUUAUUCUCUGUGUAUUUGAACUUUAUAAUAAAAAUACUUUUCACUGUG